AGCAGUUCCUGUCCACUUCCCAAGCUGCGAGACUGCUGUUUGGAAAAGAGGGUCCACCGAGAAAAGACAGAUGAAGAGGAAGGAUGUGGUGUCCAAAAGGCAGAAGAUUUUCCAUUCCCCAGUGGUGCAAACACUAAGUAUCACUCAGCCUUGACUAGUCCUAGAAACUAUAUACAGGAAUGAGAAACCUGGCCUUGUCCUCGACAAUCCUAAUCAAAGUCACUCAACUGCUUUUUUUUUUAUUCCCGUGACAGUGACAGAGCAUAGGAUCUCUAUGAGCUGUAAUAGAGCAAAACUGCUAUAGCUUUGGUAUAGCUAUAUAUAGAGUCUGGUAUAGCUUUGACCUUUCCUGAAGAUUUCUUCUCAAUGGCAAGAUCUAUUUAGCUGGAAUGAGUAAAAGAAACUUGAAUAACUUAAAAAAAAAUAAGAAUGGCUUUCUCCUUACAGAAAAACUUUGUCUCUUUAUGCCUGGAUAAUUAAUAUCGU